AGCGAACGCUGGCGGCAGGCCUAACACAUGCAAGUCGAACGAAGUCUUCGGACUUAGUGGCGGACGGGUGAGUAACACGUGGGAACGUGCCUUUAGGUUCGGAAUAACUCAGGGAAACUUGUGCUAAUACCGAAUGUGCCCUUCGGGGGAAAGAUUUAUCGCCUUCAGAGCGGCCCGCGUCUGAUUAGCUAGUUGGUGAGGUAAAGGCUCACCAAGGCUACGAUCAGUAGCUGGUCUGAGAGGAUGACCAGCCACAUUGGGACUGAGACACGGCCCAAACUCCUACGGGAGGCAGCAGUGGGGAAUCUUGCGCAAUGGGCGAAAGCCUGACGCAGCCAUGCCGCGUGGAUGAUGUAGGUCUUAGGAUUGUAAAAUCCUUUCACCGGUGAAGAUAAUGACUGUAGCCGGAGAAGAAGCCCCGGCUAACUUCGUGCCAGCCGCCGCCGUAAGAC
rnacentral:rRNA from 1 species